rnacentral:rRNA from 1 species
UACGGAGGAUGCGAGCGUUAUCCGGAUUUAUUGGGUUUAAAGGGUGCGUAGGCGGGAUGCCAAGUCAGCGGUAAAAAUGCGGUGCUCAACGCCGUCGAGCCGUUGAAACUGGCGUUCUUGAGUGGGCGAGAAGUAUGCGGAAUGCGUGGUGUAGCGGUGAAAUGCGUAGAUAUUCGGAGGAACACCGGUGGCGAAGGCGGCCAACUGGGCUUUAACUGACGCUGAGGCUCGAAAGUGUGGGGAGCAAACAGG